GAAGUAUGUUGUAACAAACAAAAGCUGCUAACUUUUUAUUUUAAUGGUUAAAUUCCAUUUAUACUUCU
rnacentral:tRNA from 1 species